ACUCGCUUGGUGAAAAUGGUAAACACGAUGGAUUUAAAAUCCGUUCUUAUUUCUUUGAGUUAUCGGUUCGAGUCCGAUAGCGAGUAC
rnacentral:tRNA from 1 species